rnacentral:rRNA from 1 species
AGCGAACGCUGGCGGCAGGCUUAACACAUGCAAGUCGAACGGGCACUUCGGUGCUAGUGGCAGACGGGUGAGUAACGCGUGGGAACGUGCCUUUCGGUUCGGAAUAAUCCAGGGAAACUUGGACUAAUACCGGAUACGCCCUUCGGGGGAAAGAUUUAUCGCCGAAAGAUUGGCCCGCGUCUGAUUAGCUAGUUGGUGAGGUAACGGCUCACCAAGGCUACGAUCAGUAGCUGAUCUGAGAGGAUGAUCAGCCACAUUGGGACUGAGACACGGCCCAAACUCCUACGGGAGGCAGCAGUGGGGAAUAUUGGACAAUGGGCGCAAGCCUGAUCCAGCCAUGCCGCGUGAGUGAUGACGGCCUUCGGGUUGUAAAGCUCUUUUGUCCGGGAAGAUAAUGACUGUACCGGAAGAAUCAGCCCCGGCAAACUUCGUGCCAGCCGCCGCCGUAAGAC